AACAAGGUUUCCGUAGGUGAACCUGCGGAAGGAUCAUUAAAGAGUAAGGGUGCUCAGCGCCCGACCUCCAACCCUUUGUUGUUAAAACUACCUUGUUGCUUUGGCGGGACCGCUCGGUCUCGAGCCGCUGGGGAUUCGUCCCAGGCGAGCGCCCGCCAGAGUUAAACCAAACUCUUGUUAUUUAACCGGUCGUCUGAGUUAAAAUUUUGAAUAAAUCAAAACUUUCAACAACGGAUCUCUUGGUUCUCGCAUCGAUGAAGAACGCAGCGAAAUGCGAUAAGUAAUGUGAAUUGCAGAAUUCAGUGAAUCAUCGAAUCUUUGAACGCACAUUGCGCCCCUUGGUAUUCCGAGGGGCAUGCCUGUUCGAGCGUCAUUACACCACUCAAGCUAUGCUUGGUAUUGGGCGUCGUCCUUAGUUGGGCGCGCCUUAAAGACCUCGGCGAGGCCACUCCGGCUUUAGGCGUAGUAGAAUUUAUUCGAACGUCUGUCAAAGGAGAGGAACUCUGCCGACUGAAACCUUUAUUUUUCUAGGUUGACCUCGGAUCAGGUAGGGAUACCCGCUGAACUUAAGCAUA
rnacentral:rRNA from 1 species